CUGUAAUCAUGCCAGUCUCGAUGGGAGCUACACCUUCUCACAGCUCUUUAACCAGAACUAAUUCUACUUUCAUCUCCCAGGAACUCUUAAAACACCCUUUCCUAGGAUGUGGAAGUGUGGGAAGGUAAAGGCAGAAAGAAGAACACAAGGAUGAAAGCUUGCUGUUCGACGGAUGCCCUUAAUCAAAUAGAAGGAUUUGACACCGUGUUUUCUCAGGGUUAAAAAGAUUCUUCACUCACUGCUUAAAAAUCAGCAAGUAAAGGGCUAAAAAAAUGCAUCAUUGUCCAGACUGGUCUACAAGAAGCAAAAGGAUGGCAAUUUUCUUAAGCAUGUAAGGUUGUAUUUUAGCUUGUCACAAUCCUGAAACAAGGUUGGAAAAGAGCAAACACAAUCACGUUUCUAAAUAGAAACCGCAAUGUUUUGUCAUCCAUGGCCAUACUGCGGUGUGCUGUAGGCAUGCUACUGAUGAACUAAGAAUCUAUAUUUUAAAAAAUGGUUUGUACCAUUGCUACUUUUUGAUAACAAAGAUGUUUUCUGAAUGAUUAUAUAAUUUUUUAAUGACCGAAGCAAUAAAACUGACUUACCUUACAUAAGCCAUUAAUUUUUACUUAAUGUAAACAAACCCCUGAAAUUAAAUAAAUAUUCUCA